UGGGGAAUUUUGCGCAAUGGGCGAAAGCCUGACGCAGCAACGCCGCGUGAGUGAUGAAGGUCUUCGGAUCGUAAAGCUCUUUCGGCUGGGACGAAAACGGUCUGGCGAAUAACCAGGCCCUUGACGGUACCGGAAGAAGAAGCACCGGCUAACUCUGUGCCAGCAGCCGCGGUAAUACAGAGGGUGCAAGCGUGGUUCGGAAUUAUUGGGCGUAAAGCGCGUGUAGGCUGCGACGUAUGUCGGGUGUGAAAGCCCUCGGCUCAACUGAGGAAGUGCGCCCGAAACUACGUUGCUCGAGUGCUGGAGAGGGUAGCGGAAUUCCCGGUGUAGAGGUGAAAUUCGUAGAUAUCGGGAGGAACACCAGUGGCGAAGGCGGCUACCUGGACGGACACUGACGCUGAGACGCGAAAGCGUGGGGAGCAAACAGG
rnacentral:rRNA from 1 species